GUAACAAGGUUUCCGUAGGUGAACCUGCGGAAGGAUCAUUAACGAGUUUUGAAAGGGGUUGUCGCUGGCUUCUAACGAGGCAAUGUGCACGCUCUGCUCAUCCACUCUCAACCUCUGUGCACUUAUUGUAGGUCGGUGGGAUUGGGCUCUUUUUCGUUAUGAAGUGUGUGGUAACACACACUGAUUACUAGAGAGGAGUCUAUGAAAGCCUUCCUAUGUUUUACUACAAACGCUUCAGUUAUAGAAUGUCUACCUUGCGUGUAACGCAUUUAUAUACAACUUUCAACAACGGAUCUCUUGGCUCUCGCAUCGAUGAAGAACGCAGCGAAAUGCGAUAAGUAAUGUGAAUUGCAGAAUUCAGUGAAUCAUCGAAUCUUUGAACGCACCUUGCGCUCCCUGGUAUUCCGGGGAGCACGCCCGUUUGAGUGUCAUGGUAUUCUCAACCUCUAUAACUUUGUUGUUAUUGAGGCUUGGACUUGGAGGUUGUGCUGGCUCUUGUUAGUCGGCUCCUCUCAAAUGCAUUAGCGUGAACGUUACGGAUCGCUAUCAGUGUGAUAAUUAUCUGCGCUGUUAGUGUUGAAGUAUGUCAAGUCUUGCGCUUCCAAUCGUCCUUCAGCUGGACAAUUAUGUAUUUCAUUAUACUUCUGACAUCUGACCUCAAAUCGGGCGGGAUUACCCGCUGAACUUAAGCAUAUC
rnacentral:rRNA from 1 species